UAAAAUUUUCAAAAGCAGCUUUAGGUCCAACUAGCUUCUCCCCACAGCUGAUUUUGAGAAGCUACCAAUUGGUUGCUUUUGGAGCUGCUUCGGGGAAAAACACGGAGCAACAGUAGAAACUUAAUGAAAUUUGUUAAACUACCAAUUUUGUCCUCCUCCUUUCCGGAAAAUUACAUUGAAACAAAUAGGGUUCAGCUUUGAUCUUCAUCCCCUCUUUGCCGUCAAAACUACAUUGCAACAUCUGUUGCUCAUCGAACUUCUCCUCCUUCUCUCUCUGCAAAUUGUUGUGCUUGAAAUUCCGGGGCAAGAUAAGCCUCGCAAACUCCACAGGGUCCCAAACCACGAAGCUUCUUCCAGUAGAACCCCACGAUAUGAUCAAAUCCAGCGACGGGUCGUCCACCAAAUCAAAUGUCUUUGCACAAAAACGGCGGCACCGGAGUCUCCUGCAGACACUGAAGCGGCUGCGGCACUCCAAUUUGGGAUAUGAAGUAUAUAGGUUUAAACCUCUUUAGUUUGGGAUAUGAAGUAUAAAGGUUUAAACCUCUUUAGUUAUGCAGUCACUCCAAUUAUAUGUAGAGUUUGGCAGAGAGUGAACACUGCAAACUCUUGAAAGGUCGCCCAUUUCAGUUUCAGGUUGAACUCGCCUAGCACAUUUAUAAUGGAUUUGGAAGUUUUGGGAUUGUUUGCUUGUUUCUGGGUUAUUAGUAUUUACGUUAGGAAAGAUUUUAGAAUCAGAAGUGAUGAAGUUAGUGCUCGUAAAGUAGAUUCUUCUAAUAUUGGCAAAGUAGAGAGAUAUGUAUGAUUCAGUAUAUGGUGGUGGUAGAAUGGACCUAAAAUACUUAUUCAUUUGAUCUGUUUACCAAUCUACCUGUACAUGUUUAUUGCAUUACCAUGGCUAAUAAUAAACUACAGCAUACCUACUAGGCUAAGUAGGCAUCCUGUAUCAGUUGCAUGAGUUAGCCAUUAUAGUUUUUCUUUAAUCCUAUAUAUUGUAAUAGUUUCUUCCCUGACUGUAGCAAGUUCGUACCAUCUUCCGCAGGAUCCUAAUUCAAAGCAUCUAGGAACUAUGGUUUGGGAUGCAUCACUGGUAUUCGCCAAGUUUCUGGCAAUGACUGUAACACUCAAAGCGUUUAGGCAUUGGUAUUGUUCUCUGUGCGCUUUUUACUUUGGUGAUUCAAUGUAGGAUGAGGAACUGUUUUAGCUUGUAGUGCUCAGAAUAUGGUGGAGAAGGGAGUCAUUUAUAAGGCAGCAUUGCCAAAUUUUGUGUAUGAGUUCAUUAUCAUAUGAAUUUCACCACAUUUUUCCUUAUAACAA